UUCAUCAUCCUCACGGACUGAAAUCAGACCAGGCAGCUCUGUGACUCUCUCCUGUCAGUUAUAUUAUUAUGGAGUCUCUUGUGAUACUUUGGUCCAUACUGAGGGAAUUGAGCUGAUCUGGGUGAAUCAGGCUGGUGAUAGUGUGUUGACAGACUCCAGAUAUCAGAUAUCAUUCUCCUCAACACACUGUAUCAGCAAUCUGACUACAAAACUCAUGAAUGAAGAUCUCAACAGAGAGUGGAGAUGUCUGGUUACUCAGAGAAAUCAAGUGAAGACCUCAGCCACAUAUAUUGUCAAGUUUUCGGCUCAAGAUGAUCCGAUGACACCAGUGAUUCCAGUCCACACCACAAACUCUGAGGAGCCCUCGACUAGAAUCACAUCAAAAUGGCCAACACAAGCUUAAAGAGACACAGCAGAAAACAUGUCAAAGAGAGUAAUGUGAGUAGAUACUGUAUGUUUAUCAGUGUGCAGAGACACUUCUAAUCGGAGAAAAUGACCAGGAGAGUUUAUAUAACAAACAUUUUUUCUUUGGAAAUCACAGAAUUG